GACGAACGCUGGCGGCGUGCUUAACACAUGCAAGUCGAGCGGUAAGGCCCUUUCGGGGGUACACGAGCGGCGAACGGGUGAGUAACACGUGGGUGACCUGCCCUCAGCUCCGGGAUAAGCCUGGGAAACCGGGUCUAAUACUGGAUAUGACUCCAUGACGCAUGUUGUGGGGUGAAAGCCUUGUGCGGCUGAGGAUGGGCCCGCGGCCUAUCAGCUUGUUGGUGGGGUGAUGGCCCACCAAGGCGACGACGGGUAGCCGGCCUGAGAGGGCGACCGGCCACACUGGGACUGAGACACGGCCCAGACUCCUACGGGAGGCAGCAGUGGGGAAUCUUGCGCAAUGGGCGAAAGCCUGACGCAGCGACGCCGCGUGA
rnacentral:rRNA from 1 species